AUGGUUAAGUUAGAAAGGGCGCACGGUGAAUGCCUUGGCACUAGGAGCCGAUGAAGGACGGGACUAACACCGAUAUGCUUCGGGGAGCUGUAAGUAAGCUUUGAUCCGGAGAUUUCCGAAUGGGGAAACCCACUGUUCGUAAUGGAGCAGUAUCUUUAUCUGAAUA
rnacentral:rRNA from 1 species